UACGUAGGCAGCAAGCGUUGUUCGGAGUUACUGGGCGUAAAGGGUGUGUAGGCGGUUCUUUAAGUUUGGGGUGAAAUCUCCCGGCUCAACCGGGAGGGUGCGCCGAAUACUGAGGGACUAGAGUGUGGGAGAGGAAAGUGGAAUUCCUGGUGUAGCGGUGAAAUGCGUAGAUAUCAGGAGGAACACCGGUGGUGUAGACGGCUUUCUGGACCAUAACUGACGCUGAGACACGAAAGCGUGGGUAGCAAACAGG
rnacentral:rRNA from 1 species